CCCUGGGAGUAUCACACAAACUCAAGUAGCCAUUAGGUGAAAGAGGAUAUGUUGAAUAGGGAA
rnacentral:ncRNA from 1 species